GACGAACGCUGGCGGCGUGCUUAACACAUGCAAGUCGAACGAUGAAGCCGGAGCUUGCUCCGGUGGAUUAGUGGCGAACGGGUGAGUAACACGUGAGCAAUCUGCCCUUGACUCUGGGAUAACUGCGGGAAACUGUAGCUAAUACCGGAUACGACACCUUGGGGCAUCCCAGGGUGUGGAAAGAAUUUCGGGCAAGGAUGAGCUCGCGGGCCAUCAGCUAGUUGGUGAGGUAAUGGCUCACCACGGCGACGACGGGUAGCCGGCCUGAGAGGGUGCCCGGCCACACUGGAACGGAGACCCGGUCCAGACUCCUCCGGGAGGCAGCAGUGUGGAAUAUUGCACAAUGGGCGACAGCCUGAUGCAGCAACGCCGCGUGAGGGAUGAAGGCCUUCGGGUUGUAAACCUCUUUUAGCCGGGAAGAAGCGAAAGUGACGGUACCUGCAGAAAAAGCACCGGCUAACUACGUGCCAGCCGCCGCCGUAA
rnacentral:rRNA from 1 species